rnacentral:rRNA from 1 species
GACGGAGGGUGCAGGCGUUGUUCGGAAUUACUGGGCGUAAAGCGCGUGUAGGCGGUUCGAUAAGUCGGACGUGAAAGCCCGGGGCUUAACCCCGGAAGGGCAUCCGAAACUGUCGAGCUUGAGUACGGGAGAGGGAAGCGGAAUUCCUGGUGUAGAGGUGAAAUUCGUAGAUAUCAGGAGGAACACCGGUGGCGAAGGCGGCUUCCUGGACCGAUACUGACGCUGAGACGCGAAAGCGUGGGGAGCAAACAGG